rnacentral:rRNA from 1 species
GGAACUCAAAGGAGACUGCCAGUGAUAAACUGGAGGAAGGUGGGGAUGACGUCAAGUCAUCAUGGCCCUUACGACCAGGGCUACACACGUGCUACAAUGGCGCAUACAAAGAGAAGCGACCUCGCGAGAGCAAGCGGACCUCAUAAAGUGCGUCGUAGUCCGGAUUGGAGUCUGCAACUCGACUCCAUGAAGUCGGAAUCGCUAGUAAUCGUGGAUCAGAAUGCCACGGUGAAUACGUUCCCGGGCCUUGUACACACCGCCCGUCACACCAUGGGAGUGGGUUGCAAAAGAAGUAGGUAGCUUAACCUUCGGGAGGGCGCUUACCACUUUGUGAUUCAUGACUGGGGUGAAGUCGUAACAAGGUAACCGUAGGGGAACCUGCGGUUGGAUCACCUCCUUACCUUAAAGAAGC